CGGUGGAGCAUGUGGUUUAAUUCGAAGCAACGCGAAGAACCUUACCAGGCCUUGACAUGCAGAGAACUUUCCAGAGAUGGAUUGGUGCCUUCGGGAACUCUGACACAGGUGCUGCAUAGCUGUCGUCAGCUCGUGUCGUGAGAUGUUGGGUUAAGUCCCGUAACGAGCGCAACCCUUGUCCUUAGUUACCAGCACGUUAUGGUGGGCACUCUAAGGAGACUGCCGGUGACAAACCGGAGGAAGGUGGGGAUGACGUCAAGUCAUCAUGGCCCUUACGGCCUGGGCUACACACGUGCUACAAUGGUCGGUACAAAGGGUUGCCAAGCCGCGAGGUGGAGCUAAUCCCAUAAAACCGAUCGUAGUCCGGAUCGCAGUCUGCAACUCGACUGCGUGAAGUCGGAAUCGCUAGUAAUCGUGAAUCAGAAUGUCACGGUGAAUACGUUCCCGGGCCUU
rnacentral:rRNA from 1 species